ACAAGAAAGUGAAAUCGUAUGAUAAUUGACUCUCUCUGCUUGACUUAUUUCACUCAGCAUAAUCUCCUCCAGUCACGUCUAUGUUGAUACAGAAUUUAGGUAUUCAUCCUUUCUGAUGGAGGCAUAAUACUGCAGUGUAUAUAU